GAGUUUGAUCAUGGCUCAGAUUGAACGCUGGCGGCGUGCUUAACACAUGCAAGUCGAGCGGUAACAGGUGUAGCAAUACAUGCUGACGAGCGGCGAACGGGUGAGUAAUGCUUCGGAAUCUGCCCUGUAGUGGGGAAUAACCAGCCGAAAGGUUGGCUAAUACCGCAUACGAACUACGGUUGAAAGCGGGGGAUCGCAAGACCUCGCGCUAUAGGAUGAGCCGAAGUCGGAUUAGCUAGUUGGUAGGGUAACGGCCUACCAAGGCGACAAUCCGUAGCUGGUCUGAGAGGACGACCAGCCACACUGGGACUGAGACACGGCCCAGACUCCUACGGGAGGCAGCAGUGGGGAAUAUUGGACAAUGGGGGCAACCCUGAUCCAGCGACGCCGCGUGUGUGAAGAAGGCCUGCGGGUUGUAAAGCACUUUUAGUGGGGAUGAAAAGCGCGAGGCUAACACCGUCGCGUCUUGACCUAACCCAAGAAAAAGCACCGGCUAACUCUGUGCCAGCCGCCGCCGU
rnacentral:rRNA from 1 species